rnacentral:rRNA from 1 species
UAGUAACUGCGAGUGAAAUGGGAAAAGCUCAAAUUUGAAAUCUGGCAGUCUCCUUUUUCUUCUUUGGCUGUCCGAGUUGUAAUCUAGAGAAGUGCUUACCUACACUGGACCAUGUAUAAGUCUCCUGGAAUGGAGCGUCAUAGAGGGUGAGAAUCCCGUCUUUGACAUGGACUGCCAGUGUGUUGUGGUGUGCUCUCAAAGAGUCGAGUUGUUUGGGAAUGCAGCUCUAAAUGGGUGGUAAACUCCAUCUAAAGCUAAAUAUUGGCAAGAGACCGAUAGUGAACAAGUACCGUGAGGGAAAGAUGAAAAGGACUUUGGAAAGAGAGUUAAACAGUAUGUGAAAUUGUUGAAAGGGAAACGCUUGAAGUCAGUUAUGUUGGUUAGGGAUCAGCCCAGCUAAUUUUGCUGAGUGAAUUUCCUAGUCUGACAGGCCAACAUCAGUUCUGACUGCUAGAAAAGAGCAGAGGGAAUGUGGCACCUUUGGGUGUGUUAUAGCCUUUUGUCAUAUGUGGCAGUUGGGACUGAGGAAUGCAGCGUGCUGUAAAGCUGGGUUAUGACCACUUUCGCGCUUAGGAUGUUGGCUUUUAAUGGCUUCAAUCGACCCGUCUUGAAACACGGACCAAGGAGUCUAACAUGCCUGCAAGUG